rnacentral:lncRNA from 1 species
GCAAUAUAAAAGGACAUUGGAAGCAUUCUGAAUCCUCAAGAUGAGCACUUUGCAAUUGACCCUUCUCACCUCUUAAUUUGGCAAAUAAUAUCUUCCCAAGAAGAUUGGUCUUACAGAGCAGUAAAAAGAGCUUUUAAAUAAAAGUUUAAUGAAACCCAGUUUCGGCAACAAUGCUGUAUUAGUUCGUUCUCACACUGCUAUGAAGAAAUACUCAAGACUGCGUAAUUUAUAAAGAAAAGUUUA